rnacentral:tRNA from 1 species
UCCAGAGUGGUCGAGUGGCUGAAGGCGCCCGCCUGAUAAGCGGGUGAACGGUGGAAGCCGUUUCGCGGGUUCGAAUCCCGUCUCUUCUU